CACCUUUAAAACCUAGAUCCAUAAGUUGGCAUUGGUAGAUAAAAUUCCAUAUCCUAGAAGUUCUGUUAAGACUAAAUUUUGUACCCCCAAAUUUUUUGGUGGAUAACGUUACAUCAUUUAGGUCACCACCAAUUAACCAGGGUCCUUUAUGAAUUUUCGAAAUAUUAACAAGGUUUUCCACAUAUCAUCAUGAGCAUGAAUUUUAGUACUAGCAUAUAUGCAUCUUAGAAGCCAAGUAAAGUGAAAAGGGAUUACCUCAAUUGAUGCAUGGAUUUCUUGGCCCCUUUUAGUGAAGUUAUGGACAAUCACCAAGGUGUGAUCAUACAGGAUGGCCAUGCCACCUGAUUGUCCUGUUGCUGGGACUUCAAUAAUCUCUGUGAAGUCGAAGCUGUCGAGAAGAGAUCCAUGGUUCUCCAUUCUUGUUUCAAGGAGAGCAACAAGGUAGGGUUUAUGAGUAUCAAGGAUGUCCCUAAAACUACGACGGAAGUCGUCAUUGUUUGCACUACGAACGUUCCAAAAAAUCAUCCUAGUGGAUCUCAUCAUUCUAGGGUGAUGGGUUGGGUUUUUGCUCAUCCCCUCCUCCUACAGAUUGGAGUUGGAGGUCCUUCUUUGGCAGGGAACCAGAAUUACUGCAUGGGUUUCCACUGUUGGGUCUCGAAGGAGCCUUAUGUCCAUUGAACAUUUGUACAUUGAGGGAGGGAAAUUGAAAAUGAAUUUCUUGCUCAGCAUCUCCUUGAAUAGUAGUACUUUUACUUCGCUUAGGUUUGCAAAUUCCACAGUCGAUUCCAUGAGAAGUGGAUCGAGUCCUUCCUCCUCUUCUAGGUUGUUUUCUGCUGGUACGGGCACAUUGGGAUGGGGGUUGUCACCAUCUGAGCUGGGUGGUUGUUUUAGACAUCUAUCUAUGCAUGCAUGUCUCAAGGCAUGAAGAUGGGAUUCAGAUGUGUGAUUGCUUCUGGGAUGAAGAAGGGGAGUUCCAGUAGUGGGUUCUAGGGAGCUAAGAUGUUUUCUUGAGGGGGGGGGGGAGGUUCCAUUGUUGGAGCAUUUCUUGGAUCAUGUUUGAGUUCACUAUGGGGGCUAAGGGUUGCAAGACAUUGUUGAUCCAUAUUUGAUUUUGGUAGUUGGUCAUUGCAACCCUCAUCCCUUACGAAAUUAGUUGAGCAAGGUAGGGCGUAUUCUGGAUUAUCAACAUUAUAUCUUGGUCAUUUAUCUCCAUGUUGAACGAUAUUGCAUGGCCUAUCAAGCCUGCUUCUAGCCAGGAUAUUGGUUGGUAAUUCUGAGGGAGUGGUGGAGAGGUGUAGUAGAUCGUGGGUUCUGGAAGUUGGGGAGGAAGAUGGGGGGGNNNNNNNNNNNNNNNNNNNNNNNNNNNNNNNNNNNNNNNNNNNNNNNNNNNNNNNNNNNNNNNGGGGGGGGGGGGGAGAUUGUUCAUGUUUGGAAGGUGUUGUUGUCGGAGGAUUUGAAGAAGUCUGUUUCUUCUUCUCGAUGAGAUGGGAAGCCUGGACAUUAUGAGAAGAAGAAGGGUUUAUAUUGCUAAUUUAUAAGAUAAUGGGAUUGGUGUAGGUAUUUUCCCUAGAAGAUUUUAUAGAAGCAACAUCAAUCUGUAUUGGAUCAGAUUGAGGAAGAGUGUGAGAGUUAGCAAGAUCUUUAGAAGAUUUGUUUUUAGACAUUUGGCUACUGGGAGUUUCCAUUUGGAAAUCGUUAUAAGGUUCGUUGGAAUUUAUGGACAAAAUAGCAUUGGUAUUAUCGUGGGAGUUUAGGGAUGAAUGUGGGGUUUUACUCAGAAUAUAAUCCAUAUUAGAGAUAGGGGCUAAAAUAUCGGGGGAAUGAUUGGUCGAAAUUAAGGGAAUAGGAGCAUGUUUCUUAUGUGAUAAUGAGGAUUUAAGGGUAGGUUCUUGCAUGAUAUUUGCCACGUGUGUCGUCUCUUCUUGCAAAGUGUCAUGCAUGAGUUGCAUGCAUUGGGCGUUAGAGGGAGUAUCAGAUAUUGUGAUGGUGGUUUCAUCAGAAACCAUGGGCUGGCUCAUUAAUGUGGAAAAUUUAUUAUUAAAGAAAUUCAAAUCAUGUUUAACUAAGUCGUUAGUAAUAGAAGUUAGAUUUUUAUUUUUUCCAAGAAUAUUAUUUCCACCAGUCUUUUCCACAUAGGAGAGCUUUUGAGUAUUAAUGUAUUUAUAUGUAUCCGCAUUAAAUAUUCUGACAUUUAUACCUGGGAGGUGUCGAAAAGGAGGAGGAGUUGUAAUGUCUCAAGAAAACUUCUUUUUUGACUUAGCAAAGGAGACCGUUCUCCAAUCACUUGCCAUAGGUUCGAGUUCCUGAUCUGGAGCUUCUGCAUUGGUGGUAGAGAUGUGAGAGGUACUAGGACUUUGCCCAUUGGUGACUGGUGAAAAGUGAUCCUUGAUGUUUGUUACAGCGGAGGAGAAUUGGCAUUGAGUUGCCACAUGGCCUAAUCUCCCACAAUUUUUACAUAAGAAUUUUUCUCCUUUAUAAAGAAUCUCUUGCCUGUGAGUGCCAAUGAAGAUGUGAGGUUUUACUGGUGUGUUCAUAGGAAUUUCUAUACAGAGUCGUGCAUAUCUACCCCUUAAGGUAGAAGAGGUGCAUGCAUCGACCUUUAAUAAUUUGCCUAUCGUAUUGCCAAUCCUUUGAAGAAUGUGUGUAUGUGUGUGUGUGUGUGUAUGUAUAUAUAUAUAUAUAUAUAUAUAUCAUGCCUUUAAAACACUUUGGUAAUGCUCCCAAAUAAUGAAUCAGAGCACAUGGAGCCAUUUCCUUAUCUUUUUUUAUGUCAAGAAAAAAAAUGGCAGACUAACUGAUAUUUAUAUCAGUUAAUGAAAGAGCCCAAUGCAAAAAAAAUGCAUGUUGGAUCUUUGAAACAGUUCAGAUCAUUUGAAUAAUAAUAAGUUUGACCUGUUUUACCGAGAAGGUCUACGGUUCGAGUCCGA
rnacentral:lncRNA from 1 species